ensembl:lncRNA
GAGACCUGACCAUCGGCCUUUGUCCUUGAAGAUCAACAAUGUCUCCGCAGACACUUUACAAGAGCAUCUCCAGAUACAAUCACUCUCCCAACUGCUCAGGGAUAAAAGUCAUUUUGGGAUCAAUUUAUCGUUGGUUCAAGAAAGCUCACAUGUACUCAGUGAGGUUGAUCUAACCCAAUCAGCCUGACAUAAUGAUCUCCAGCCUUGUGCUCGUCAACAUUCUCACCUGAGUUAACAAGAUGAUUACUGAAAUGAUCUCAGCAGGUCCUUUAAUGACAGCAAUGAAAUGCAGUGGAAAGGUUUUUUUGGGAUUAAGUUAAUUUUCAUGGCAAAGAAGGACUAUGCAAUUCAUCUGAUCACUCUUCAUAACAUUCUGGAGUAUAUGCAAAUUGCUAUUAUAAAAACUUAAGCACCAACUUUUCCAAUUUCCAAUAUUUCUGUAAUUCUCAAAACUUUUGGCCACGACUGUAGAAUAUAACAUUGAGAUAUUAAGAGGAAAUAUUGACCUUUUACAAGAAACCAACCUGGACAAUGAGUCUGAGAUGGAAGACUGGGAUAGACAGAUGGAUGGAGCAGAAGAACAAUGGCCUAAAAGAGCUGCAUUUAAAAUGUCAAACAUGUAUGCUGUUGUAACCUUGCAAGAUUCAGAUGAGGUGAUGGUGGCAGCAUCAAACUGGCUGAACACAGACAAGACACAAUGUCACUGGCCUCCAUUCAGAUCAGCAGAGAAGUACAUGCAAGCUGUGAAAGACAGAACUGAGCCUUCAACAGAAGGAAAACCAUGGGACAUGUUAAACGUUUUCUUACAUGCAGAAUACGACACCUAUCAGGAGGCUAUAAAGAAACAAAAGGAACUUUUAAGAACACAGAAAGAUGGUUUGUAUGCAGUCAUUACCCUGCAAGAAUCAAGUGAGCUGACUGUGAUACCAACAAACUGGCUGAAUGAACACAAGACACAAUGUUACUGGCCUCCAUUCAAGUCACCUAAGACAUGCACAGAAGCUGUAAAGAACAGACUUGAACCUGCUAGAGGAGAAAAUCCAUGGGAAAUGCUGAACAUCAUAUUUCAUGAAGAAAAUGGUAAAGAUUUUAAUGAUUCUUUAUAUGUAGUGUACAGUGUAUUGUAUUUUUUUUAUCAUGAGGCACAUUUAUAAAUCUUCUUUAUUAACCAAGAAAUA